GACGAACGUUGGCGGCGUGCUUAAUACAUGCAAGUCAACUGAAGCAGUGGUAGCAAUAUCGCUGUGGAGGUGGCGCACGGGUGAGUAACACGUAGGUAAUCUGCCUUCAGGUCUGGCAUAACUCCGGGAAACCGGGGCUAAUAGCAGAUGAUGCAGCGGCUCGACAUCGAGACAGUUGUUAAAGCUAUGGCGCCUGAAGAUGAGCCUGCGUCUGAUUAGCUAGUUGGCGGGGUAACGGCCCACCAAGGCAACGAUCAGUAGCUGGUCUGAGAGGAUGAUCAGCCACACUGGAACUGAGACACGGUCCAGACUCCUACGGGAGGCAGCAGUAAGGAAUAUUGCUCAAUGGGAGAAAUCCUGAAGCAGCAACGCCGCGUGAGGAACGAAGGGCUUUUGCUUGUAAACCUCUGUAGUGAGAGAAAAAAAUCCCAAUCUUUGGGACAUGAUGGUAUCUCAAAAGUAAGCCCCGGCUAACUACGUG
rnacentral:rRNA from 1 species